UCUGUCUUCUCUGAGCAGCGGUCUUGUGAUCACCGGUCUCAGUAUAAUAAAGAUUUGACAGAACUACACACCCAUCUGAUGCCUACCUGUUUUAUUUCAUGAUCACCCCGGAUACUUCUACAACUAACCCACCUUGGUGUCUGAUGCUGAUGCAGUCUGGGCACUAGUAUCUGUUGGCUUGCUGACUAUCACUGACGAUGUACUUCGAAGUACUUCUCCAAAUCUUGACCCAGUGUCUUCUGCCAUCAUUGUUCAGGGUAGUACUGCAAAGAAUAGUCUCCAGGGUUUGCCUCCAACAUUUGCUUCCCGACCACCAUGUGCUACGUUUGCAUCACUACAUGUGGGUUACCCUGAUACUGUGAAGAAAACCUACAAUAUGAUGCUUGACUUGGGACAGAAAAAAAAAACAUUGGCAACUUGUGUGGCCAACUCAUUGCCGUAUUUAAAAUCAUUGUACCGCUACCUCCAUUGUUUAACAUAACUAAAAACAGAUUGUUUUUUCUUUGUUUCAAAAUUUUUGUAAUACGAGUUAAAAAAUAUAUCAUCUUUAACUUU